rnacentral:ncRNA from 1 species
UUGCUUUAAGUGUUUAUUUUAACAUUAAUCUAUAUGUAAAUUUUUGUUUGAUUAAUUUUCUAAAAGAGAUUUUGUUUUAAUUAUGGCAGUAGAUGAUAUUAUAAUAUUAAAUUCUUUUAGAUUUGGUAAAUGUUAAUAGGUUUGGUAAAUGCUGUGCCAGCAACUGCGGUUAUACAGCAAAAUCAAGUAAAUAUUAUUGGCUUUAAAGUAAUUAAUAUAUUAAUUAUAUAGAAAUUAAAAUAUUAUAGAGUGAAAUUUUAUAAUAUUUUGAAGUAUAUUUUUAUGGUAUGAUUAUUAUGAAAGUUAAAAUGUAAACUAGGAUUAGAUACCCUAUUAUUUUUACUGUAAAAUUUUAAGUCGGAGUAUUAGUAGAUAUGGUCUUUAAACUUAAAGAAUUUGGCGGUAUUAUAAUCUAUUUAGAGGAAUCUGUUAUAUAAUCGAUAGUCCACGUUGAACCUUACUUAUAUAAAUUCUUGUAUACCGCUGUUUAAGAAUAUACUUUUAGGUAAUUCUCGAGAUAUAAUAAUAAUUAAUAUUUCAAGUCAAGGUGCAGUUAUAUAUAAGUUGAAUAAUGGAUUACAAUAAAUUUUAUUUAUUAUGAAUUAUUAUUGUAAAGUAAUUUGAAGGUGGAUUUAAUUGUAAUUUUAUAAAGAUUAAUAAAAUGAUUUUAGCUCUAUAAUAUGUACACAUCGCCCGUCACUCUCGUUAAUUAAGAUGAGAUAAGUCGUAACAAAGUAGGUGUAUCGGAAGCUGUACCUAGAAAGUAUAAU